rnacentral:rRNA from 1 species
UACGGGGGGGGCAAGCGUUGUUCGGAAUUACUGGGCGUAAAGGGCUCGUAGGCGGCCAACUAAGUCCGACGUGAAAUCCCCAGGCUUAACCUGGGAACUGCGUCGGAUACUGGAUGGCUUGAAUCCGGGAGAGGGAUGCGGAAUUCCAGGUGUAGCGGUGAAAUGCGUAGAUAUCAGGAGGAACACCGGUGGCGAAGGCGGUUCUCUGGGCAUUACCUGACGCUGAGGAGCGAAAGUGUGGGGAGCGAACAGG